rnacentral:rRNA from 1 species
AACGCGAAGAACCUUACCAGGUCUUGACAUCCCGAUGCUAUUCCUAGAGAUAGGAAGUUUCUUCGGAACAUCGGUGACAGGUGGUGCAUGGUUGUCGUCAGCUCGUGUCGUGAGAUGUUGGGUUAAGUCCCGCAACGAGCGCAACCCCUAUCAUUUGUUGCCAGCACGUCAAGGUGGGAACUCAAAUGAGACUGCCGCGGACAACGCGGAGGAAGGCGGGGGUGACGUCAAGUCAUCAUGCCCCUUAUGUCCUGGGCUACACACGUACUACAAUGGGAUGGACAGAGAGCAGCGAACCCGCGAGGGCAAGCGAACCCCAUAAACCAUCUCCCAGUUCGGAUUGCAGGCUGCAACCCGCCUGCAUGAAGUCGGAAUCGCUAGUAAUCGCUGGUCAGCAUACAGCGGUGAAUACGUUCCCGGGUCUUGUACACACCG